rnacentral:rRNA from 1 species
UACGUAGGGUGCGAGCGUUAAUCGGAAUUACUGGGCGUAAAGCGUGCGCAGGCGGUGAUGUAAGACCGAUGUGAAAUCCCCGGGCUCAACCUGGGAACUGCCUUUGUGACUGCAUGACUAGAGUACGGUAGAGGGGAUGGAAUUCCGCGUGUAGCAGUGAAAUGCGUAGAUAUGCGGAGGAACACCGAUGGCGAAGGCAUCCCUGGACCUGUACUGACGCUCAUGCACGAAGCGUGGGAGCAAACAGG